UACGUAGGGUGCAAGCGUUAAUCGGAAUUACUGGGCGUAAAGCGUGCGCAGGCGGUUGUGCAAGACAGAUGUGAAAUCCCCGGGCUUAACCUGGGAAUUGCAUUUGUGACUGCACGGCUAGAGUGUGUCAGAGGGGGGUAGAAUUCCACGUGUAGCAGUGAAAUGCGUAGAGAUGCGGAGGAACACCGAUGGCGAAGGCAGCCCCCUGGGCUAACACUGACGCUCAGGCACGAAAGCGUGGGGAGCAAACAGG
rnacentral:rRNA from 1 species